rnacentral:ncRNA from 1 species
UCAAAAUAUAAGAGUACACCUUGUAUAUGUUCGGGAAUAUGGCCCGGACGUUUCUACCGGGCUUCCGUAAAAAGCUUGACUACAGGGGAUAACGAGAAAAAG